rnacentral:tRNA from 1 species
GCCGACGUAGCUCAACGGUAGAGCAAUCGCUUCGUAAGCGAUAGGUUAUCGGUUCAAAUCCGAUCGUCGGCU